rnacentral:rRNA from 1 species
AUUGAACGCUGGCGGCAGGCCUAACACAUGCAAGUCGAACGCGUGGCGGACGGGUGAGUACUGUCUGGGAAACUGCCUGAUGGAGGGGGAUAACUACUGGAAAAGGUAGCUAAUACAGCAUACCAUCAGAUGUGCCCAGAUGGGAUUAGCUAGUUGGUGGGGUAACGGCUCACUAAGGCGACGAUCCCUAGCUGGUCUGAGAGGAUGACCAGCCACACUGGAACUGAGACAGGGUCCAGACUCCUACGGGAGGCAGCAGUGGGGAAUAGUGCACAAUGGGCGCAAGCCUGAGGCAGCCAUGCCGGGUGUAUGAAGAAGGCCUACGGGUUGUAAAGUACUUUCAGCGGGGAGGCGUUACCCGCAGAGGAAGCACCGGCUAACUCCGUGCCAGCAGCCGCGGAAUUC